rnacentral:rRNA from 1 species
GAUGAACGCUGGCGGCGUGCUUAACACAUGCAAGUCGAACGGAAAGGCCCAAGCUUGCUUGGGUACUCGAGUGGCGAACGGGUGAGUAACACGUGGGUGAUCUGCCCUGCACUUCGGGAUAAGCCUGGGAAACUGGGUCUAAUACCGGAUAGGACCACAUUUUGGAUGGUGUGGUGGAAAGUUUUUCGGUGUGGGAUGAGCUGGCGGCCUAUCCGCUUGUUGGUGGGGUAAUGGCCUACCAAGGCGUCGACGGGUAGCCGGCCGGAGAGGGUGUACGGCCACAUUGGGACUGAGAUACAGCCCAGACUCAUACGGGAGGCAGCAGUGAGGAAUAUUGCACAAGGGGCGCAAGCCUGAUGCAGCGACGCCGCGUGGGGGAUGACGGCCUUCGGGUUGUAAACUCCUUUCGCUAGGGACGAAGCAUUAUGUGACGGUACCUGGAGAAGAAGCACCGGCUAACUACGUG